AUCCAGCCGAAGGGUUCAGAAUAGGACGAAACGUGAGUCCUGGAU
rnacentral:hammerhead_ribozyme from 1 species